UACGAAGGGGGCUAGCGUUGUUCGGAAUUACUGGGCGUAAAGCGCGCGCAGGUGGUCUUUCAAGUCAGUGGUGAAAGCCCGGAGCUCAACUCCGGAAAUGCCAUUGAAACUGUAAGACUUGAGGAUGAGAGAGGUGAGUGGAAUUCCCAGUGUAGAGGUGAAAUUCGUAGAUAUUGGGAAGAACACCGGUGGCGAAGGCGGCUCACUGGCUCAUAUCUGACGCUCAGGCGCGACAGCGUGGGGAUCAAACAGG
rnacentral:rRNA from 2 species